rnacentral:rRNA from 1 species
CAGCAGCCGCGGGAAUACGAAGGGUGCAAGCGUUAAUCGGAAUUACUGGGCGUAAAGGGUGCGUAGGCGGUUCGUUAAGUCUGUCGUGAAAUCCCCGGGCUCAACCUGGGAAUGGCGAUGGAUACUGGCGAGCUAGAGUGUGUCAGAGGAUGGUGGAAUUCCCGGUGUAGCGGUGAAAUGCGUAGAGAUCGGGAGGAACAUCAGUGGCGAGGGCGGCCAUCUGGGACAACACUGACGCUGAAGCACGAAAGCGUGGGGAGCAAACAGAAUUAGAUACCCCCGUAGUCCCUGUCUCUUAUAC